rfam:Schizophyllum commune H4-8 unplaced genomic scaffold SCHCOscaffold_7, whole genome shotgun sequence.
GCCCGCCUAGCUCAAUCGGAUAGAGCGUCAGAUUCUUACAUGACUAGGUGGAAUCUGAAGGCUGCGAGUUCGACCCUCGCGGUGGGCU